rnacentral:rRNA from 1 species
AUCGAACGCUGGCGGCAUGCCUAACACAUGCAAGUCGAGCGGAGCGGCGGACGGGUGAGUAAUGCCUAGGAAUCUGCCUGGGAGUGGGGGAUCACGUAGGGAAACGGGCGCUAAUACCGCAUACUAUCAGAUGAGUCUAGGUGGGAUUUGCUAGUUGGUGGGGUAAAGGCCUACCAAGGCGACGAUCCGUACCUGGUCUGAGAGGAUGAUCAGUCACACUGGAACUGAGACACGGUCCAGACUCCUACGGGAGGCAGCAGUGGGGAAUAUUGGACAAUGGGCGAAAGCCUGAUCCAGCCAUGCCGCGUGUGUGAAGAAGGUCUUCGGAUUGUAAAGCACUUUAAGUUGGGAGGCGUUACCAACAGAAUAAGCACCGGCUAACUUCGUGCCAGCAGCCGCGGUAAUAC